UGAAUACGAGAUGCUACGGCGUCGAAGCAGUCUAUGUCAUACUUCCAAGAAAAGCUCGCACUGUCAUAAACAAAUAAUGCCUGUACCAUAACCGACACAGGUGGGUAGGUAGAGUAUACUAAGGGGCGCGAGAUAACUCUCUCUAAGGAACUCGGCAAAAUGACUCCGUAACUUCGGGAGAAGGAGUGCCUUAUUUAUAAGGUUGCAAUAACAAGAUCCAAGCAACUGUUUAUCAAAAACACAGGUCUCCGCUAAGUCGUAAGACGAUGUAUGGGGGCUGACGCCUGCCCAGUGCCAGAAGGUUAAAGGAGUUGGUUAGCAUUCGCGAAGCUGAUAACUGAAGCCCUGGUGAACGGCGGCCGUAACAAUAACGGUCCUAAGGUAGCGAAAUUCCUUGUCGGGUAAGUUCCGACCCGCACGAAAGGCGUAAUGAUUUGGAUACUGUCUCGGAGAGGGGCUCGGUGAAAUAGACUUGUCUGUGAAGAUGCGGACUACCUGCACCAGGACAGAAAGACCCUAUGAAGCUUUACUGUAACUUGAGAUUGAAAUUGGACUUUACUUGCGCAGUAUAGGUGGGAGGCGUUGAUAAUAUUCUUGCGGGAUUAUUUGAGCCAUCAGUGAGAUACCACUCUUGUAAUGUUAGAUUUCUAACUUUGUAUCAUUAUCUGGUCAAAGGACAGUUUCAGGCGGGCAGUUUGACUGGGGCGGUCGCCUCCUAAACGGUAACGGAGGCGCACAAAGGUUUCCUCUGAACGGGUAGAAAUCGUAUCUAGAGUGUAAAGGCAUAAGGAAGCUUGACUGUGAGACCUACAAGUCGAGCAGGGACGAAAGUCGGUCUUAGUGAUCUGACGGUGCUGAGUGGAAAGGCCGUCACUCAACGGAUAAAAGUUACUCUAGGAUAACAGGCUGAUCUCCCCCAAGAGUUCACAUCGACGGGGAGGUUUGGCACCUCGAUGUCGGCUCAUCGCAUCCUGGGGCGGUAGUACGUCCCAAGGGUUGGGCUGUUCGCCCAUGAAAGCGGUACGCGAGCUGGGUUCAGAACGUCGUGAGACAGUUCGGUCCAUAUCCGGUGUAGGCGUUAGAGUAUUGAGAGGAGCCUUCUUUAGUACGAGAGGACCGAGAAGGACAUACCUCUGGUGUACCAGUUAUCGUGCCAACGGUAAACGCUGGGUAGCUAUGUAUGGAGUGGAUAACCGCAGAAAGCAUCUAAGUGGGAAGCCCACCUCAAGAUAAG
rnacentral:rRNA from 1 species